rnacentral:rRNA from 1 species
UCCCUUCGGGGACCUAGUGACAGGUGCUGCAUGGCUGUCGUCAGCUCGUGUCGUGAGAUGUUGGGUUAAGUCCCGCAACCGAGCGCAACCCUCGUCCUUAGUUGCCAUCAUUAAGUUGGGCACUUUAAGGAAACUGCCGGUGAUAAGCCGGAGGAAGGUGGGGAUGACGUCAAGUCCUCAUGGCCCUUACAGGCUGGGCUACACACGUGCUACAAUGGCAUCUACAGUGGGCAGCUAUUCCGCAAGGAUGCGCUAAUCUCCAAAAGAUGUCUCAGUUCGGAUUGUCCUCUGCAACUCGAGGGCAUGAAGGCGGAAUCGCUAGUAAUCGCGGAUCAGCAUGCCGCGGUGAAUACGUUCCCAGGCCUU